UGCUUGCACCUUAUCUUAGCGGCGGACGGGUGAGUAAUGCUUAGGAAUCUGCCUAUUAGUGGGGGACAACAUUCCGAAAGGAAUGCUAAUACCGCAUACGUCCUACGGGAGAAAGCAGGGGAUCUUCGGACCUUGCGCUAAUAGAUGAGCCUAAGUCGGAUUAGCUAGUUGGUGGGGUAAAGGCCUACCAAGGCGACGAUCUGUAGCGGGUCUGAGAGGAUGAUCCGCCACACUGGGACUGAGACACGGCCCAGACUCCUACGGGAGGCAGCAGUGGGGAAUAUUGGACAAUGGGGGGAACCCUGAUCCAGCCAUGCCGCGUGUGUGAAGAAGGCCUUAUGGUUGUAAAGCACUUUAAGCGAGGAGGAGGCUACUGAGACUAAUACUCUUGGAUAGUGGACGUUACUCGCAGAAUAAGCACCGGCUAACUCUGUGCCAGCAGCCGCGGUAAUACAGAGGGUGCGAGCGUUAAUCGGAUUUACUGGGCGUAAAGCGUGCGUAGGCGGCUUUUUAAGUCGGAUGUGAAAUCCCCGAGCUUAACUUGGGAAUUGCAUUCGAUACUGGGAAGCUAGAGUAUGGGAGAGGAUGGUAGAAUUCCAGGUGUAGCGGUGAAAUGCGUAGAGAUCUGGAGGAAUACCGAUGGCGAAGGCAGCCAUCUGGCCUAAUACUGACGCUGAGGUACGAAAGCAUGGGGAGCAAACAGGAUUAGAUACCCUGGUAGUCCAUGCCGUAAACGAUGUCUACUAGCCGUUGGGGCCUUUGAGGCUUUAGUGGCGCAGCUAACGCGAUAAGUAGACCGCCUGGGGAGUACGGUCGCAAGACUAAAACUCAAAUGAAUUGACGGGGGCCCGCACAAGCGGUGGAGCAUGUGGGUUUAAUUCGAUGCAACGCGAAGAACUUUACCUGGCCUUGACAUACUAGAAACUUUCCAGAGAUGGAUUGGUGCCUUCCGGGAAUCUAGAUACAGGGUGCUGCAUUGCUUGUCGUCAGCUCCUGUCCGUGAGAUGUUUGGGUUAAGUCCCGCCACCGAGCGCAACCCCUUUUCCUUUACUUGCCAGCAUUUUCGGAUUGGGAACUUUAA
rnacentral:rRNA from 1 species